CCUACGGGGGGCAGCAGUGGGGAAUAUUGGACAAUGGGGGCAACCCUGAUCCAGCCAUGCCGCGUGUGUGAAGAAGGCCCUCGGGUUGUAAAGCACUUUCAGUGAGGAAGAACGCCUGGUGGUUAAUACCCAUCAGGAAAGACAUCACUCACAGAAGAAGCACCGGCUAACUCCGUGCCAGCAGCCGCGGUAAUACGGAGGGUGCGAGCGUUAAUCGGAAUUACUGGGCGUAAAGCGCGCGUAGGUGGCUUGAUAAGCCGGUUGUGAAAGCCCCGGGCUCAACCUGGGAACGGCAUCCGGAACUGUCAAGCUAGAGUGCAGGAGAGGAAGGUAGAAUUCCCGGUGUAGCGGUGAAAUGCGUAGAGAUCGGGAGGAAUUCCAGUGGCGAAGGCGGCCUUCUGGACUGACACUGACACUGAGGUGCGAAAGCGUGGGUAGCAAACAGGAUUAGAUACCCCUGUAGUC
rnacentral:rRNA from 1 species